rnacentral:rRNA from 1 species
GUAAUGUCUGGGAAACUGCCUGAUGGAGGGGGAGUAACAUUCUGAAAAGAAUGCUAAUACCGCAUGACAUAUCGGAACCACAUGGUUUUGUAUAUCAAAGAUUUUAUCGCUUGAAGAUGGACUCGCGUCCGAUUAGUUAGUUGGUGAGGUAACGGCUCACCAAGACCGCGAUCGGUAGCCGGACUGAGAGGUUGAACGGCCACAUUGGGACUGAGACACGGCCCAGACUCCUACGGGAGGCAGCAUG